CAAUAGUACUGAACAUUCAUUUUCUUGCUUCCCUUCAUGGUUCCGGAGGUACUUGUGAAUUAGGGAGCUCUUUGCUCUUUGCAAUAGUUGCACGUGGCGAAUGAAGCACAUUUUGCAUUAUUAACCAACUACUCAUCUCCAAAUCACAGGUCCAUCAGCGGAACACCCAGAUGUGUGCAAUAACAAUUAAAUUCAGUUGUCUCCAAUGUUUUGCUGACUUCUACUUGUAUGAAAACUGUAACUUCACGUGCACUUAAAAUUUUACAGUUAUGAAGUAUUUCUCAAGUAUUUCAGUGACAGGAUCCACUCAGGAGAGUCGGGGCAAGGCUGGCUGAGGUUCUCAAGGAGCUGAGUUUUGAGUUCAGGUGCCUGCGUGGCAGUGGAAUGAUGCUUCCUGACCUCUCAGACCUUUGAGACCUCUGGGCGGUCUUAGACUUCACCUGGAGCCUCCUGUCCAGCAUGCGACCAUCUAGGGGAGUUCCAGGGAAAGGUGGCAGAGAUAUCAUGGACUGAAAGGUGAUGGGUACCCCAAUGAGCUCACUACAAGAUCUCAAAGAUUCCAAGCCACUGGCUGCUCCAAAGCAUAAAGCCACCCUUCUGGAGAGUCGGCAGG